UACGUAGGGGGCGAGCGUUGUCCGGAUUUAUUGGGCGUAAAGAGCUCGUAGGCGGUUCGGUAAGUCGAAUGUGAAAUCUCCACGCUCAACGUGGAGGGGUCAUUCGAAACUGCCGUGACUUGAGUACGGUAGGGGAGUGUGGAAUUCCCGGUGUAGCGGUGAAAUGCGCAGAGAUCGGGAGGAACACCCGUAGCGAAGGCGGCGCUCUGGGCCGAUACUGACGCUGAGGAGCGAAAGCGUGGGGAGCAAACAGG
rnacentral:rRNA from 1 species